rnacentral:rRNA from 1 species
GAUGAACGCUGGCGGCGUGCCUAAUACAUGCAAGUCGAGCGAACACAUGAGGAGCUUGCUCCUCUGACGUUAGCGGCGGACGGGUGAGUAACACGUGGAUAACCUACCUAUAAGACUGGGAUAACUUCGGGAAACCGGAGCUAAUACCGGAUAAUAUAUUAAACCGCAUGGUUCAAUAGUGAAAUACGGUUUUGCUGUUACUUAUAGAUGGAUCCGCGCCGGAUUAGCUAGUUGGUAAGGUAACGGCUUACCAAGGCAACGAUGCGUAGCCGACCUGAGAGGGUGAUCGGCCACACUGGAACUGAGACACGGUCCAGACUCCUACGGGAGGCAGCAGUAGGGAAUCUUGCGCAAUGGGCGAAAGCCUGACGGAGCAACGCCGCGUGAGUGAUGAAGGUCUUCGGAUCGUAAAGCUCUGUUAUUAGGGAAGAACAAAUGUGUAAGUAACUAUGCACGUCUUGACGGUACCUAAUCAGAAAGCCACGGCUAACUACGUG